GACGAACGCUGGCGGCGUGCCUAAUACAUGCAAGUCGAGCGGAGCGGCGGACGGGUGAGUAAUGCCUAGGAAUCUGCCUGGUAGUGGGGGAUCACGUCCGGAAACGGGCGCUAAUGCCGCAUGCUAUCAGAUGAGCCUAGGUCGGUUUGGCUAGUUGGUGGGGUACAGGCCUACCAAGGCGACGAUCCGUAACUGGUCGGAGAGGAUGAUCAGUCACACUGGAACGGAGACACGGUCCAGACUCCACGGGGAGGCAGCAGUGGGGAAUAGUGGACAAUGGGCGAAAGCCAGAUGAAGCCAUGCCGCGUGUGUGAAGAAGGUCUUCGGAUUGUAAAGCAAUUUAAGUUGGGAGGCGUUACCAACAGAAUAAGCACCGGCUAACUUCGUGCCAGCCGCCGCGGUAAUUC
rnacentral:rRNA from 1 species